rnacentral:rRNA from 1 species
AUUGAACGCUGGCGGAAUGCUUUACACAUGCAAGUCGAACGGUAGAGGGGGCAACCCCUCGAGAGUGGCGAACGGGUGAGUAAUAUAUCGGAACGUGCCCAGUCGUGGGGGAUAACGUAGCGAAAGUUACGCUAAUACCGCAUACGAUCUAAGGAUGAAAGCGGGGGAUCGCAAGACCUCGCGCGAUUGGAGCGGCCGAUAUCAGAUUAGGUAGGUGGUGGGGGAAAGGCUCACCAAGCCAACGAUCUGUAGCUGGUCUGAGAGGACGACCAGCCACACUAGAACUGAGACACGGUCCAGACUCCUACGGGAGGCAGCAGUGGGGAAUUUUGGACAAUGGACGCAAGUCUGAUCCAGCCAUUCCGCGCGCAGGAUGAAGGCCCUCGGGUUGUAAACUGCUUUUGUACGGAACGAAAAGGUCUCUCUUAAUACGGGGGGCUCAUGACGGUACCGUAAGAAUAAGCACCGGCUAACUACGUGCCAGCCGCCGCAGUAA